UACGUAGGGGGCAAGCGUUGUCCGGAUUUAUUGGGCGUAAAGAGCGUGUAGGCGGCUUGGUAGGUCCGCUGUGAAAACUCGAGGCUCAACCUCGAGAUGUCGGCGGAAACCACUUGGCUAGAGUCCGGAAGAGGAGAGUGGAAUUCCUAGUGUAGAGGUGGAAUUCGUAGAUAUUAGGAAGAACACCAAUGGCGAAGGCGGCUCACUGGUCCGGUACUGACGCUGAGGUGCGAAAGCGUGGGGAGCAAACAGG
rnacentral:rRNA from 1 species